ACAUUCCUGCGCUGAACUUGGCGGAGUCCAGCGGCUGGCGUACCUUCCCUGGGCUCCUCCGCCUCGGAGAGCAUGCUGUCGGGGUGCACAGCCACAGGCUCUACCGCCACGGACAUGGACGUGAGGCUGCGAGACUCCCAGACGACAUCUGGCUUCGCCUUCCCCCUUCCACUGGCCAGAUGUCCACAGAUGUCCACCUGGGCCUCGGAGGAACCUCGCCACAGCUGUUUGCUACACAAAUGAGAUACCUUCUGCGAAUGGAGAGCUGGAGCAAAGCAGCACCUUUUGAAGUUGCAUCCUCUUUUUACCUCUCUCAAAGCCAGACUCAGGACAGACUCAGGCCUCCCCUUUUCAAUGAAGCCUACUGAGGCCAGUGGUGAACUUCUCCAUGCAACGUCUACUGUCGACCCAUAAUACAUGCUGGGUACUUUGAAGAGGCUAUAACCAAUAAAAUAAUCAUUUCAACAUUUCAUUAAACUGAGUUAUGACAACAUGUAAGAAUAAACAUUACUUCCUCUACCCAUAAAGUAUAUUAUGGAACCAUCAAAACACAAAUCUGCUAUCUUCAAAGAAAAAAAAAAUAAAGUUUAAAGGAGCAUUUGCUUGCACUGGAGAACGAGGCUGGUAAUCUGCAACUAAUUCAUAAAUCUAACAAGUUUCCAAAAAAUUCCUUCAGAAAAGGAGCCAAGAAGAACGGAACUCUGCCAGCUGCGAGCCUUCUGUCUAACAGUGUGUGCUGAGUGGACGCACUCGCUUUAUCAUCCCCAUAAACAGAGUGUGGGGGCACAUGCAACCUUCCCAGAAGAUGUUCACUGGACACUUGGCUUCAAUGAGGGGGCCGUGCUUACCCAUAAGACAGCCUAACUAGCUCCUUCACCAACUACACAACCCACUACAAUCAGCAUUCAGAUCCUUAAUAAGACAGAUUGAGCCACAUUCCACUUCAGCUGAUGGAGUUUCCAGAACCAGGAAGAUACUGGCAGCUGCUGCCCCUUGACAAAGCAAAGAGUAGCCAUCCUCACAUUGAAAACUUUGUUUCCUUAAGUUAAGAACUCACAUCCGGCUACGCCACCAACAUGCACACACUAAUAAAUCCCAGAUGGGAAUUCCAGACACCUCUUCACUCAAGCCAUGAAUUUCUUUUAGGCGACAACAUUCUAUUAAGUUGGACUCCCAGCCCGUGAGCCGCCCACCAGAGACUGCCUUCAUUUACAAUAUACACUGUGCUUUAUGGAGCCAGUUUGGGAUUCAUUGUUGCAUAAUGUGUAAUUAAUUUUGAUAUCUUUUAAUGCAUAAAAAAUAUCUGUUAAUGCAAAUUAAGAAAGCUGGUUCUGCGGAAGCAGAAACUAUGAAUAGCAGCCACUAGAAGCGGAAGGGGAGGGAACAGGUAAUGGAUACAAAAGAGAGUUGCACAGGAAGAGUAGGUCCUAGUAUACUACAGGAGGGAUGAAUGAACAUCAUUCACAAAAAUCAACUACUAUUGUAUAAAGAACCAGAAGAGAGGAGUCCAAAGUUUCUCAUCAAACAGAAAUGAUAAAUGUUUCAGGGGCUGAAAAUAAUAGUUACCUUGAUUUUAUCUUUAGACAUUUUAUAAGUGUGUGGAUGUGAAAUCACCACACAGUAACCUGUAAGUAUGCCCAAAUAUCACUUUAAUAAAACAUUGAGAAGAAAAGAAAAUUCUUUUAAAAC